rnacentral:rRNA from 1 species
GAUGAACGCUGGCGGCGUGCCUAAUACAUGCAAGUCGAGCGAACAGACGAGGAGCUUGCUCCUCUGACGUUAGCGGCGGACGGGUGAGUAACACGUGGAUAACCUACCUAUAAGACUGGGAUAACUUCGGGAAACCGGAGCUAAUACCGGAUAAUAUAUUGAACCGCAUGGUUCAAUAGUGAAAGACGGUUUUGCUGUCACUUAUAGAUGGAUCCGCGCCGCAUUAGCUAGUUGGUAAGGUAACGGCUUACCAAGGCGACGAUGCGUAGCCGACCUGAGAGGGUGAUCGGCCACACUGGAACUGAGACACGGUCCAGACUCCUACGGGAGGCAGCAGUAGGGAAUCUUCCGCAAUGGGCGAAAGCCUGACGGAGCAACGCCGCGUGAGUGAUGAAGGUCUUCGGAUCGUAAAACUCUGUUAUUAGGGAAGAACAAAUGUAUAAGUAACUAUGCACGUCUUGACGGUACCUAAUCAGAAAGCCACGGCUAACUACGUGC